rnacentral:misc_RNA from 1 species
GCAAAACCUAUAAUUUAGUCACUCUAUCCAAUUUUCCAUCCAAGUUAGCAAAAUGACCAAAAUGCCUUUAACUCUAUAUAUUUUCUAACUGAAACGAUUUAGUCUCUAAGGUUUUGUACUAUAAACAAUGUUGCCCCUUGAUUUAAACUUUAUAAACAAAAUAGUCAUUUAAUUUAAACUAUUUUUUUAUAAUACAAAAUCUCAGGGACUAAAUUGUUUAAGUUGGAAAAUAUAUGAAGUUAAGGGCAAAUAGUCCCUCGAUUUAAAUUUUAUAAACAAAAUAGUCCUUUGAUUUAAAUUAUUUUGUUUAUAAUACAAAACCUCAGGAACUAAAUUGUUUAAGUUGGAAAAUAUAUGAAGUUAAGGGCAAAUAGUCCCUCGAUUUAAAUUUUAUAAACAAAAUAGUCCUUUGAUUUAAAUUAUUUUGUUUAUAAUACAAAACCUCAGGA